UACAGAGGCCUCGAGCGUUAGGCGGAAUCACUGGGCUUAAAGCGUGUGUAGGUGGAUGCCUAAGUGCCUUGUGAAAUCCCAUGGCUUAACCAUGGAAUUGCUGGGCAUACUGGGCGUCUUGAGCCACUCAGGGGCUACCGGAACAAACGGUGGAGCGGUGAAAUGCGUAGAUAUCGUUUGGAACGCCAAUGGUGAAAACAGGUAAGCUGGGGGUGUGCUGGACACUGAGA
rnacentral:rRNA from 1 species